rnacentral:lncRNA from 1 species
CAUCAUCAUCAUCCUCAUUUUCCUCUAAGAUAUGUUCAUUAGGAUAAAGAGAAUUCAUAAUAUCAUCAUCUAAUCUAUCACCUACUGUAACAUCAUGUAGAAAUUCACUAUCGGUAAAUUGAAAACAAGGGUGAUCACUUUCAAGCAUUACGGGAGUUGGAUUAGGACGUCUAGGUUGGCUACUACUUUUAACUUGCUUAUCUUU